CAUGCACCGGUGGGGUCCCUCGGCCUGGCCUGCACCCUCUCGCAAUCCGGGACCCCUUGGGGGAUGUUGGAGAGCUGCUUUUGGCCCAAUCCCCGCAGGCCAGGCUGAGGGACCCCACUGGUGCAUG
rnacentral:pre_miRNA from 1 species